UACGUAGGGGGCAAGCGUUGUCCGGAAUCAUUGGGCGUAAAGAGCGUGUAGGCGGCUUGGUAAGUCCGCUGUGAAAGUCCAGGGCUCAACCCUGGAAAGCCGGUGGAAACUGUCAAGCUUGAGUCCGGAAGAGGCGAGUGGAAUUCCUGGUGUAGCGGUGAAAUGCGCAGAUAUCGGAAGGAACACCUGUGGCGAAAGCGGCUCACUGGACCAUUACUGACGCUGAUGCACGAAAGCUAGGGGAGCAAACAGG
rnacentral:rRNA from 1 species